ACUCCUACGGGAGGCAGCAGUAGGGAAUAUUGGACAAUGGGGGCAACCCUGAUCCAGCAAUGCCGCGUGAGUGAUGAAGGCCUUAGGGUUGUAAAGCUCUUUUACCCGGGAUGAUAAUGACAGUACCGGGAGAAUAAGCUCCGGCUAACUCCGUGCCAGCAGCCGCGGUAAUACGGAGGGAGCUAGCGUUGUUCGGAAUUACUGGGCGUAAAGCGCACGUAGGCGGCUAUUCAAGUCAGAGGUGAAAGCCCGGGGCUCAACCCCGGAACUGCCUUUGAAACUAGAUAGCUUGAAUCCAGGAGAGGUGAGUGG
rnacentral:rRNA from 1 species